GACCGUGUAGCUCAGUUGACAGAGCAUUGGGCUAGUAUUCCAAAGGUCGUAGGUUCGAAUCCCACCGUGGUCA
rnacentral:tRNA from 1 species